GUCGUAACAAGGUUUCCGUAGGUGAACCUGCGGAAGGAUCAUUAUUGAACAAGUUGAGAGGUUGUAGCUGGCUCCUCGGGGCAUGUGCACGCCUUUCAAACUCAUCUCAACCACCUGUGCACCCUUUGUAGACCUAGAAAUGGAUUUCUCAAGGCAACUUGGAUUUUGAGGGUUUUUGCUGGCUUCCUUGAAGUCGGCUUCCCUUGCUGUUUCUGGUGUCUAUGUUUUAUUUAUACACCCUUUUAAAUGUUAUAGAAUGUCUUUGAUGGGCCUGUCGUAAAAAAGCAGCGUCCUUUAAAUAUAUACAACUUUCAACAACGGAUCUCUUGGCUCUCGCAUCGAUGAAGAACGCAGCGAAAUGCGAUAAGUAAUGUGAAUUGCAGAAUUCAGUGAAUCAUCGAAUCUUUGAACGCACCUUGCGCUCCUUGGUAUUCCGAGGAGCAUGCCUGUUUGAGUGUCAUUAAAUUCUCAACCUCAUUUAGCUUUUGUUGAAUGAGGCUUGGAUUGUGGGGGUUUGUGCGGGCUUUUCAAGUCGGCUCCCCUUAAAUGCAUUAGCGGAAAACCCUUGUGGACCGUCUUUGGUGUGAUAAUUAUCUACGCCAUCGCCGUAAGCAGCUAUAUAUAAUGGGAACUUCAGCUUCAAACCGUCCUUUACAGAGAGACAAUACUUAAUUGACAUUUGACCUCAAAUCAGGUAGGACUACCCGCUGAACUUAAGCAUA
rnacentral:rRNA from 1 species